rnacentral:lncRNA from 1 species
UUAAUAUUUAUUUAUUUAUUUUUUAGGUGUAGAUGGACACAACACAAUGCCUUUAUUUUUAUGUGGUGCUGAGGAUCCAACCCGGGUCCCACCCGUGCAAGGGGAGCGUUCUACCGCUGAGCCACAAUCCCAGCCCAGCCCCCAAUGAUUCUUGCGUCUUGUAAUUCAUGCCCAAUGACUGUGUAACUACUGGAGUAGUUACACAGUAGUAAACUACUGUGUUUAUCACACACACAUGGUGUGUGAUUUUGAGGCUAGGUGAUAAAAAAAAAAAAAUUGUGGCUUCCGUUUUCCUCUCUUGGAUCAUUCUGGGGAAGUCAACUCCCAUGUCAUGAGGAUACUCAAGCAGCCUUGUGGAAGUCCAUGCGUUACGAAACUGAGGCCUCCUCCCCCUAAAAGAGCAGUAACUUGCCUGGUAUCUGAAAGAGCCACAUUGGAAGUAGAUCUUGAAGACUUUGUCCAGCCUGCAGAGACUACAGGCCCAGCCAACUUCUUGUCUGCCCCUAAGCCAGAUCCACCUGCUUAAGCUGCUCCUAGAGUCCUGACCACAGGAACUAUAUGGGAUAAUAAAUGUUUAUUAUUUUAAGCUACUGUGUUUGGGAGAAAUAUGCAACAAUAGAUAAUAUAAUCUUUGUCGAUUCUGCCCCUUUUUUUUUUCAGACCACUAUUACUAUAUUUCACUAGAUUUUUGUCUACUUAAGGGCAGACAGGGUCGUGUUUAAUUCAUUUUUGUAAGCCUUACAGAGGUGAUUGUUGUGCUUUAUCAAUACUUCUUAAAUUGAAUGUGAUUGGCUUCUAUCAAGGCUAAACCUGGGUUGCUCCUAUUGCUUCUGUUUGGAAAGGUGAAAAUUACUUCUGUUUUAUUUAGAAAUAAAGGCAAUAUUUUAAAAGAGCUUUCUUUAAAAGAAUCUAGAAUAUUUGAAAUAUGUGGUACAAAAAUAGUUAAUCAUAUGAGACAAAAUUUUAACAAAGAUCUAAACAAAUGGGAAAGAUAAUAGAACAAAAAAAAAAGGAAGGAGCUGGUAAUCUUUGAAAAACUGACUGCUUGCUUUUGUUCCUUAUUUUAAAAUAAGUUCAAACACAGAUAAGUUAAAAAAAAUACAACACCUAUAUACAUUUUACCUAGAUUCUCCUGUCAUUAAAAUUUUGUCUCAUUUGCUUUAUUACUUAUGCUCAUGACGACUCUUGCUCACUCUCUGAAUAUGUGUCUCUAGAUACAGAUGUACCUGAAUAUAUGUACUCAUAUGUAAUAUGUUAAAGUCAUUUAUGCAUAUCUUCAGUACAUCAUAUGUAAUUCCUAAGAAUUACAUAAACAACUUGAAGUUUAAUAGUGAUCCUUUGUUAUUUGUAAUCCAGUUUCGUCAGUUGAUCCAAUAAUGUCCCUUGUGGCAUUUCCCUCCUUCCUAGCCCAGGAUCCAGUCUAAUAUCAUGCAAUUAUGUGUGUAUCUUUGGAUUCUUUCAACCUAUAACAUGUCCAUAGCUUUUCUGUGUCUUUUUUGGCAUUGUUAUGGGAAGAAAAAGACACCAUGCCUUCCCCUUUUUAGCAGAAUGUUCCACAUAUUGCUGAUAUUUCCUUCUGAUUAGAUUCAGAUUAUACAAUCUACAAAAUUCCCUUUUAAAUUGUCUAAAAUGUGAGAAUAGUAUUCUGUCCAAAAGAUCAAUUCAAAACAAAAUUUAGGUAAAAAAAAAAGUAUAUGAGUUAUUAGAAAUCAAAAUGGAAAAUCAAAACAUGCCAUAGAAUAAUUUCUGUAGGAAAUAUUUAAGAUCAUUUUCAGUCUUUCAAGUUACUGUAUAUGGUUGGUUUAAUAACUAGAUUUAAAAAAAAAUCAAGAGUUGAGCAUGGUGGUUCAUACCCACAGUACCAUUGACUUGGGAGGUUGAAGUUGUAUAAUUGCCAAGUUUGAGGCCAGCCUCAGCAACCUAGAAAGACUCUGUCUGAAAAUAAAAAAAUUAAAGAGGUGAAUAUAUGGCUCAGUGGUAAAGCACCCUUGGUUUUAAUCCCC